rnacentral:rRNA from 1 species
CUACGGGUUGCAGCAGUGAGGAAUUUUGCGCAAUGGGGGCAACCCUGACGCAGCAACGCCGCGUGAGUGAAGAAGGCCUUUGGGUCGUAAAGCUCUGUCAAUGGGGAAGAAGUUAUUAUGUGUUAAUAGCACAUUUUAUUGACGGUACCCAUGAAGGAAGCACCGGCUAACUCCGUGCCAGCAGCCGCGGUAAUACGGGGGGUGCAAGCGUUAUUCGGAAUUAUUGGGCGUAAAGGGCACGCAGGCGGUCCUGUCAGUCAGAUGUGAAAGCCCAGGGCUCAACCCUGGACGUGCAUUUGAAACAGCAGGACUUGAGGACGGGAGAGGAAAGGGGAAUUCCUGGUGUAGAGGUGAAAUUCGUAGAUAUCAGGAGGAACACCGGUGGCGAAGGCGCCUUUCUGGACCGAUACUGACGCUGAGGUGCGAAGGCGUGGGUAGCGAACGGGAUUAGAUACCCGUGUAGUC